GGUUGUAGCUCAGUGGUAGAGCGCUUGUCUUGCAUAUACAAGGCCCUGGGUUCGAUCCUCAGCACCA
rnacentral:tRNA from 1 species